rnacentral:sRNA from 1 species
GAACACAUCCAUCAUUUAAUACCACAGUUUAGCACAAGAGCUAUGUGGAGCCCUUUUGUCAUUACUGGUCUAACUCAAUCUUUGAAAUCCUCUUUACAGUCUUUAGCAAAUUUUGUUGAUUUCUUACAUUACAGUGUGAUGUUAGUCCUUAUAAAACUAAUUCAUAACCAUGAUUUCCUUUUUAAAUAACUGAUCUUUCUUUCUUCCGUAUUUUCCUUCAGGUGUGAAGUGGGUUAUACUGGUGUCCGAUGUGAACACUUCUUUUUAACCGUCCACCAACCUUUAAGCAAAGAAUAUGUGGCUUUGACCGUGAUUCUUAUUAUUUUGUUUCUUAUCACAGUCGUCGGUUCCACAUAUUAUUUCUGCAGAUGGUACAGAAAUCGAAAAAGUAAAGAACCAAAGAAGGAAUAUGAGAGAGUUACUUCAGGGGAUCCAGAGUUGCCACAAGUCUGAAUGGCGCCAUCAAACUUAUGGGCAGGGAUAACAGUGUGCCUGGUUAAUAUUAAUAUUCUCAUUUUAUUAAUAAUAUUUAUGUUGGGUCAAGUGUUAGGUCAAUAACACUGUAUUUUAAUAUACUUGAAAAAUGUUUUUAUUUUU